rnacentral:rRNA from 1 species
GUGGGGAAUAUUGGACAAUGGGCGAAAGCCUGAUCCAGCCAUGUCGCGUGUGUGAAGAAGGUCUUCGGAUUGUAAAGCACUUUAAGUUGGGAGGAAGGGCAGUAAGUUAAUACCUUGCUGUUUUGACGUUACCGACAGAAUAAGCACCGGCUAACUUCGUGCCAGCAGCCGCGGUAAUACGAAGGGUGCAAGCGUUAAUCGGAAUUACUGGGCGUAAAGCGCGCGUAGGUGGUUUUGUAAGUUGGAGGUGAAAUCCCCGGGCUCAACCUGGGAACUGCCUCCAAAACUGCAUGACUAGAGUACGGUAGAGGGUAGUGGAAUUUCCUGUGUAGCGGUGAAAUGCGUAGAUAUAGGAAGGAACACCAGUGGCGAAGGCGACUACCUGGACUGAUACUGACACUGAGGUGCGAAAGCGUGGGGAGCAAACAGGAUUAGAAACCCCUGUAGUCC